GAGUGCCCAACUCAAUGCUGGCAACAAAGAUCAAGGGUUGCGCUCGUUGCGGGGACUUCACCCAACAUCACACGACACAAGCUGACGACAACCAUGCACCAGCUGUCACUCUGCCCCCAAAAAGGAAAGACUGACCCACAGACGCCGCAUGAGGGAUGAAGGCUUGUGGAUUAUCUUCGUCUGUUGUCAAAUAAAACCACGUGCCCCACCGCUUGCGCGGUCCCCGGGCGUUUCCUUUGAGU
rnacentral:rRNA from 1 species